rnacentral:lncRNA from 1 species
GGGAGCUAAUUCCUCUGCUGCAUUGAACUUGGUUAGCUGCACAGAGCUGCAGCAGCAAUCACGCAUCUCACUCCGAAAUCUGCUGAUGUUUCAUCCUCAUGCGUCAAUGAUCAGUAAGUGUUUGCAGGUCCAAAUGGAUUGAAACGAAAAGCAGCAAAGCUUCGGGGUAAGGCAACUGAUGAAGAAGGGACUGACUCUGUGUGAUCGGUCAUCUUAUUCUCUGAGGGUUUGUCGGAAAGCAGGAUUACAGAACUCAUGUAAUGAAGCAAGUAUUAUCAGAGAAGAAAAAAUGAUGCCCACUUCUGCUCUUGCUGAGAUGAAGGGAGUCAGAACAGGACAAAUCUAAAUAACUUUUUCUCACCUCGUAAAAGGAAUCCAGAAGAGUGAACAUGAACAAAUAUUUGGUGGGAGGAAAUUCAAGAACUCCUAAUUAUUGAGUGGUAAUUCAUCUUAAUGACUGCUAUGGAGUGUGGAAUAAAAGAGACAUAAUCCAAGAAAUCAUCAUCAUCAUCAUCAUAGUGGAGAUACAUAAUGUAAGAAUAAACACAACCAUGUUUUCUGACGUCAGAUAAUGAAUGAGCACUAACAAAAGACUUUUCUCCAGUCAGAGAGAACUGGACUUUACGUGUGGACACACCAGAGCAGAAGAAAGAAAAAUAUAAACUUUAUUUUAAUGUGUUUUAGUAGAAAAAUCUUUCAUGAGAAGAAAUAAUGGAGGCCAAGGAUAAUAUCAGUACAAUGCAUAAAGUGCUGGACUUGGAGUCAGGAAAAACCGAGUUCAAAUCCUGCUUCAGAUACCUACUAGCUGGGGGACACUGGGCAAGUUACCUAACUUCUUUUUCCCUCUACUAUAAAAUGUGGUUACCUCCCAGGGUUGCAAUUAGUACCCCCACUUAACGAAUGAGGAAACUGAGUCAGAGAAUGAAUGACUUGCCCAACUUCAAACAGAGAGUAAAUAACUGAGGCUGGAUUUCAACUUAGGUCUUCCUGACUCUUAAGUCUAGAACUUUGUUCACUGUACCACUUUGCUAACUAAACAUGGAAAAGAGGCAGGAUAGUAUAGUGGAAAGAGGACUCAGUGGAAAUCACUUGCCUUGGUCCUAGUUCUGGUCUUACCACUGAACUAGCUGUAUGUCCUUAGAAUAAAUUAUUAAGUAUAAACCA